rnacentral:rRNA from 1 species
CCUACGGGCGGCAGCAGUGGGGAAUAUUGGACAAUGGGCGAAAGCCUGAUCCAGCCAUGCCGCGUGUGUGAAGAAGGCCUUCGGGUUGUAAAGCACUUUCAGUGGGGAAGAAAGCCUUGGGGCUAAUACCCUCGAGGAAGGACAUCACCCACAGAAGAAGCACCGGCUAACUCCGUGCCAGCAGCCGCGGUAAUACGGAGGGUGCGAGCGUUAAUCGGAAUUACUGGGCGUAAAGCGCGCGUAGGCGGUCUGAUAAGCCGGUUGUGAAAGCCCCGGGCUCAACCUGGGAACGGCAUCCGGAACUGUCAGGCUAGAGUGCAGGAGAGGAAGGUAGAAUUCCCGGUGUAGCGGUGCAAUGCGUAGAGAUCGGGAGGAAUACCAGUGGCGAAGGCGGCCUUCUGGACUGACACUGACGCUGAGGUGCGAAAGCGUGGGUAGCAAACAGGAUUAGAUACCCCAGUAGUC